UGGCAGGGAGAGCAGGAGAGGAGAGGGUGAAACAGGAGAGCAGAGCUGCUGUGGGAAGGGAAGGAGUGAGAAGCAGUGGCUGCCGAUGCUCUUUCUGCUGCCACCUCUUUUUUCCCUCUUCCCUUUCGCCCGCCAAGUGCUGAACUGAUUAGAGUGUAAUUAAGGCCAUAAAACCCUCGGCUUAUCCACCUGUUUAUUCACUAAAGUCGCGGGCUCAUCAGGCAAAUUAGCUGCUUCCAGGCUGCACGUUGGGCCUAGAGCUGGCCUGAUUAAUGAAGUUUAUUGGGAGCUGUUAAAAGCAUUAACUGAAGGAAAUCUCGGCAAUUCGUCAUAUUUAAGGGAUGGAAAUUAAAUCUCCCCAUGCAAAUGAGGGGAGACUCGGAAGCGGCUUCUUUUGGAGGUGACGGGGGUGGGGACACACGAGGGGCUCCCCCCAGGCACAGCCCCCUGGCAGCGGCUCUGCACCCACCCAUAACGAGUUGGCCUGGUCUCAGCACAAGGGGCUUAACAAUAAAGGGGAGACAGAUUUUAAGAUCCAAGAGCUCUCGGUCCUUGGAGCCGCAAAUGCAUGAAUCAGACCCGGAAUGAGGUAGUAUAAUCCUUCUGAUCUCUUUUUAUGCUGAGGGCAUCUCUCUAGGUGCCCGGGGCAUCGCUGGUGUGGCUCAUCCACACAGGGGCUUGUAAGGCAGCUUCCAUGUCAGGUGGUUGUGCCCCCCUUGGUCAGACAAGCCAUCUCCAAUUUGUUCCUACUUUAAAUGUUUUGCGCUCUUCUUAGCUGUUAGUCACGUUAUAUGGCUUCAACACAAGUACAAAGGUCCACAUAAAAUUUGAAAUGCAAAAUGCUUUUUUUAAGCACUAUUCAUGACAAACCUUAAAACUGCAACAGUAGAUGCUCUAGCUGGCAAACACCUAAGAGAUAUAUUAAGGAGAGAUGGUCUAAGCUGCAGGGAAUCCUAUCAAGAGCUGAAUAUUCACCAGUUUUGAAAGUGUUUUCUUCUGGCAUGUCAAUCUGAUUUUAUUUCUGACAUGAAUGGCAUUUAUCAUACCCGAAGCUUCAUGAGCCACAGCAUUUUUAUAUUAACAAUUUAUAAUAAAAGAGAAAUUACAAAGGGUCACAACAAGGAGUGAAUGUCCUGAGGAAGGGAUAAUGAGAAGGAAAGAAGGUCAAAGAAAACAUCUUGGCCUCACUAUUUUAUUGAGUGUUCAGUUCACAAUGGUAUUAUGUUUAAAAUUUAUUUAUUUUGAAUAUUUUCAUAUGAAAUGAAGAAAUCACUGUCAUCUUAUGUAAAAGAUAUUCGUAUCCAAAUAUUGAAUCGUGAAUGUGAUAGGGAGGGAGAAGAGAGAAAAUUCAUGUUUGAUGUAAUUCUAAUUCUAUAUGCUUCUCUGUCUAAUUAUUACAAAGCUAAUUAUUUGUUACAAUUAUUGGAUUAACACUUUGCUAAUCAGUUUUCUUCUCCUUUGUAGAGCAGCACCGGAGCAGUGAAAUGCAAGAUGGCUUCUGAUGCAGUCUUAUGCUCGAUGCAGAGACCAGCUUGAAUUCUCAAGGCAUUGUGCAAGCCACAAAGGCUCGGGAUCAAGUCUCAUCUCUCACUGUAUUUGCUGAGGAAGCCUGCCAUUGUCAGUCUUGUCAACUUUCAUGGUCUCUUUGCUUUUUACCCUGUGCUUGCCCCAUCUCUUCUUUCAUUAAAAAAUGCGAAAGUUUCUGUCCUUGUGGAUUUGCAAAGGGAAAAUAGAAUCCCCAAGGGCUUAGAAACCAGGCAGCAAAUUAAUGCUGCCAGCACUGAUUAUCCUUGGAGAUCCUGUUAUUUUAAAGGCAGUCUCCUGACUUUCAGGGCCUGGUUUGUGGCUUCUGAACUGUAAAGUUCAGCCAUCCUUGCACUUGGCAAGCAUCUGGAAGUGAAAUGUGUGCAACCAAGCUAUAUAUAUAAUUCUGUAAAAUGAGAGCUGUUUAUCUCAGUAGCUGAAAUAUUCAUUAUUGAAAAUAAGCAUUUCAACAUUCAGAGGGUGGAUCAUGUGGGCUGAGAAUAACAAUGCUCUGCAAAAUACCUGCAUGUCUCUACAGUAUCCUAAAUGGAUGUAGCUGAGAGGGUCUGACCUUGCACAGGGCAGGUGGGAUGAGAGCCCCUACUGACACACAGGCACCUGUCCUUACUUCUGGCUUAAUCUUUUCAUUUUAGCUUGGCUGCUCUUCCUGGUGGCUAAGAUCACUCAGAAAGACAGGAAGAAAAUAACGGUGAGUUUGCUGAGACAAGGAAGGAAGAUGAUGAAAGGGGUGAAACUGGAAAACACCAAUCAUUGAAAUUUUUCUUAUUUGGUAGACAAUGUAGGCUGUGUGCUGAGAAAAUUUCUUCUGCUCCUCCUUUUAAAGAAACAUCUGCCAUUUGGCCAAGUUUCAGGUUUGAGAAUUCACACCACUUCAACGUGACCACUAAAUCUCCUCAGAUUUUUCCUUUGUUUCACUUUCUUUGCACACAGAAAUGCUGCAGGUUACAGACAGCAUCCUCAAAGGGCAGUGGUGCCAACUCCCCUCAGUCUAGGCCUGGAAAAUGGAACUGAGCCUUCCUGAAAAUGGCAAUAACCAGAGCAGGAGACGGUCACUACAGCUGAGAAUUCCUUUCUUUGCUGACUUUGCUUCCUGGCACCAGUUCAGCAGAUUAAAAGGAGCCUUCAAUCUGUAUUGUUGAAUAAACAAAAAUUCGGCAAAUGGACACAGACUGGGACAAGGAAGAAGUGGGAAUUUUCCAGUUUAGACACAUUCCUCCUUAUGAAUCCAUGGAUCAGCAUAAUUUCUGCUGUUUUACAAACUGGCUAAUCCCAGUAGAGAUGAAGCUCUGCAAAUAAUAGAAUUUUCCUUCAGGAGCAGAAAAAAAUGCAAUUCCAGCAGUGAAUAUAAAAACUGUGGACUUGUCUGAGGCCUGCAUGAUAGAAGUCAUAGCUGCACACUGUACAGAAACAUGAUGGCAUAUGAAAUGUUUCAGACAUAUUUAAAGUUCGUGGAAACGUAGCACCUUGAAGCACCUGACUAACCUGGAACCAAAGAGGGCAAGACUCUAGGAUUUUCCCUGUGACUGUGGUCUCCUUUGGGAAUGGCCACAUGAAUUAUUUUAAAGACCAGGUGUGAAGUUUGGUUGGUCCAGUGUCAUCUGAGUACUUUCCAUGCCAUCAGAGCAACUUCCAUGUAACUGGCAUCUUUCCCAGGAGACUGUUUUUAAGUCAACAAAAUUAUGGAGGACACAGGUAUGGCUUCUAUGGCUGACAAGAAGAAAUGAAAAACAGUGGAAUGCUUCGGCUCAUAGAGAAGGUUUGGCCAAAGGACUUUGCGAUGAUGGCCAAGUAGAAUAAAACUUACCAAUAAAUAGUUGAAAAAUC